rnacentral:rRNA from 1 species
UACUUUUGCCGGCGAGCGGCGGACGGGUGAGUAAUGCCUGGGAAAUUGCCCAGUCGAGGGGGAUAACAGUUGGAAACGACUGCUAAUACCGCAUACGCCCUACGGGGGAAAGCAGGGGACCUUCGGGCCUUGCGCGAUUGAUUCUGCCCAGGUGGGAUUAGCUUGUUGGUGAGGUAAUGGCUCACCAAGGCGACGAUCCCUAGCUGGUCUGAGAGGAUGAUCAGCCACACUGGAACUGAGACCGUUCCAGACUCCUACGGGAGGCAGCAGUGGGGAAUAUUGCACAAUGGGGGAAACCCUGAUGCAGCCAUGCCGCGUGUGUGAAGAAGGCCUUCGGGUUGUAAAGCACUUUCAGCGAGGAGGAAAGGUUGAUACCUAAUACGCAUCAGCUGUGACGUUCCUCGCACAAGAAGCACCGGCUAACUCCGUGCCAGCAGCCGCGGUAAUACGGAGGGUCGCAAGUAUUAAUCGGAAUUACUGGGCGUAAAGCGCACGCAGGCGGUUGGAUAAGUUAGAUGUGACAGCCCCGGGCUCAACCUGGGAGUUGCAUUUACAACUGUCCAGCUAGGUCUUGUAGAGGGGGUAGAAUUCCCGGUGUAGCGGUGAAUGCGUAGAGAUCUGGAGGAUACCGGUGGCGAAG